rnacentral:rRNA from 1 species
CCCUUAGAUGUUCGGAGCUGCACGCGCGCUACACUGAAGGAAGCAGCGUGUUAGAGUACCUGGCUCGCAAGAGUCGGGUAAUCCGGUGAAUGUCCUUCGUGAUUGGGAUAGGCACUUGUAAUUAUUUGCCUUGAACGAGGAAUACCUAGUAAGUGCGAGUCAUCAGCUUGCGCUGACUACGUCCCUGCCCCUUGUACACACCGCCCGUCGCUGCCCGGAACUGAGCCGUUUCGAGAAAGUCGGGGACCGACGACUCGUCGGUGCGCAAGCACUUCUUGUCGACGGAAACCAGUUUGAUCGGUACGGCUUGAACCGGGCAAAAGUCGUAACA